rnacentral:rRNA from 1 species
GACGAACGCUGGCGGCGUGCUUAACACAUGCAAGUCGAACGGAAAGGCCCUGCUUUUGUGGGGUGCGCGAGUGGCGAACGGGUGUGUAUCACGCGAGUAACCUGCCCUUUACUUUGGGAUAACUCCAGGAAACUCGGGCGAUUACCGGAUAUGAGCUCUUUCUGCACGGUGUGGGUGGGAAAGUUUCGGCGGUUGGGGAUGGACUCGCGGUUUAUCAGCUUGUUGGUGAGGUAGUGGCUUACCAAGGCUUUGACGGGUAGCCGGCGUGGGAGGGUGACCGGCCCCAAUGGGCCUGAGGUAGGAGCCAGACUGAUACGGGAGGCAGGGGUGGAGAAUUUUGCGAGCUGGGCGGAAGGAUGAUGCAAGGAUGCCGGGUGCGGGAAGACGGUUUUUGGGGUAUAAACCGCUUUAGACUGUGACGAACAGUGAGUGACGGUAAUGGGUCAGAAAGCAACGGCUAACUACGUG